GAGAAAGAGACAGAAUGGUAAUGUGGUUGGCUUGAAACUAAUUCUAGGGGGUUCGAUUCCUUCCUUUCUUG
rnacentral:tRNA from 1 species